rnacentral:tRNA from 1 species
GCCUGUGUGGUGUAGCGGUUUGAGGGUUGCACUACAACUCUGGAGACCAGGGUUCGAAUCCCCACUCAGCCA